AUGGUAUUGAGUGUUGUGAUAUUGAACUUCACAUACAUUGCACGUAAUUUCUGGAAUAGGACGAUCGCUUCAUCUGCGCAAUUAUUUCUACAAAGUCCUCCAAGAAUUAUAUUAUAUGCAGAAAUGCUCACCAUUAUUCCACUUUCGAUCAUCUCAUGGAACAUUUUCUUUGCAUCAGCAGUUCUCCCAAAUUAA
rnacentral:rRNA from 1 species